GAACCGGACAAACGUUAUUCGGAAUUAUUGGGCUUAAAGGGUGCGUAGGCGGCGCGGUAAGUGAGGUGUGAAAGCCCACGACUCAAUCGUGGAAUUGCGCUUCAUACUGCCGUGCUAGAGGGAGACAGAGGUAAGCGGAACUGAUGGUGGAGCGGUGAAAUGCGUUGAUAUUAUCAGGAACACCGGUGGCGAAGGCGGCUUACUGGGUCUCUUCUGACGCUGAGGCACGAAAGCUAGGGGUAGCGAACGGGAUUAGAUACCCCGGUAGUCCUAGCUGUAAACGAUGAGCACUUGUUGGGGAUCCUCCCCAUAGAUUCCCGACCGCAGCGAAAGUGUUAAGUGCUCCGCCUGGGAGUAUGGUCGCAAGGCUGA
rnacentral:rRNA from 1 species